CGGCAAGGGGGUCAUCCCGACUUACCAACCCGAUGCAAACUGCGAAUACCGGAGAAUGUUAUCACGGGAGACACACGGCGGGUGCUAACGUCCGUCGUGAAGAGGGAAACAACCCAGACCGCCAGCUAAGGUCCCAAAGUCAUGGUUAAGUGGGAAACGAUGUGGGAAGGCCCAGACAGCCAGGAUGUUGGCUUAGAAGCAGCCAUCAUUUAAAGAAAGCGUAAUAGCUCACUGGUCGAGUCGGCCUGCGCGGAAGAUGUAACGGGGCUAAACCAUGCACCGAAGCUGCGGCAGCGACGCUUAUGCGUUGUUGGGUAGGGGAGCGUUCUGUAAGCCUGUGAAGGUGUGCUGUGAGGCAUGCUGGAGGUAUCAGAAGUGCGAAUGCUGACAUAAGUAACGAUAAAGCGGGUGAAAAGCCCGCUCGCCGGAAGACCAAGGGUUCCUGUCCAACGUUAAUCGGGGCAGGGUGAGUCGACCCCUAAGGCGAGGCCGAAAGGCGUAGUCGAUGGGAAACAGGUUAAUAUUCCUGUACUUGGUGUUACUGCGAAGGGGGGACGGAGAAGGCUAUGUUGGCCGGGCGACGGUUGUCCCGGUUUAAGCGUGUAGGCUGGUUUUCCAGGCAAAUCCGGAAAAUCAAGGCUGAGGCGUGAUGACGAGGCACUACGGUGCUGAAGCAACAAAUGCCCUGCUUCCAGGAAAAGCCUCUAAGCAUCAGGUAACAUCAAAUCGUACCCCAAACCGACACAGGUGGUCAGGUAGAGAAUACCAAGGCGCUUGAGAGAACUCGGGUGAAGGAACUAGGCAAAAUGGUGCCGUAACUUCGGGAGAAGGCACGCUGAUAUGUAGGUGAAGUCCCUCGCGGAUGGAGCUGAAAUCAGUCGAAGAUACCAGCUGGCUGCAACUGUUUAUUAAAAACACAGCACUGUGCAAACACGAAAGUGGACGUAUACGGUGUGACGCCUGCCCGGUGCCGGAAGGUUAAUUGAUGGGGUCAGCGCAAGCGAAGCUCUUGAUCGAAGCCCCGGUAAACGGCGGCCGUAACUAUAACGGUCCUAAGGUAGCGAAAUUCCUUGUCGGGUAAGUUCCGACCUGCACGAAUGGCGUAAUGAUGGCCAGGCUGUCUCCACCCGAGACUCAGUGAAAUUGAACUCGCUGUGAAGAUGCAGUGUACCCGCGGCAAGACGGAAAGACCCCGUGAACCUUUACUAUAGCUUGACACUGAACAUUGAGCCUUGAUGUGUAGGAUAGGUGGGAGGCUUAGAAGUGUGGACGCCAGUCUGCAUGGAGCCGACCUUGAAAUACCACCCUUUAAUGUUUGAUGUUCUAACGUUGACCCGUAAUCCGGGUUGCGGACAGUGUCUGGUGGGUAGUUUGACUGGGGCGGUCUCCUCCUAAAGAGUAACGGAGGAGCACGAAGGUUGGCUAAUCCUGGUCGGACAUCAGGAGGUUAGUGCAAUGGCAUAAGCCAGCUUGACUGCGAGCGUGACGGCGCGAGCAGGUGCGAAAGCAGGUCAUAGUGAUCCGGUGGUUCUGAAUGGAAGGGCCAUCGCUCAACGGAUAAAAGGUACUCCGGGGAUAACAGGCUGAUACCGCCCAAGAGUUCAUAUCGACGGCGGUGUUUGGCACCUCGAUGUCGGCUCAUCACAUCCUGGGGCUGAAGUAGGUCCCAAGGGUAUGGCUGUUCGCCAUUUAAAGUGGUACGCGAGCUGGGUUUAGAACGUCGUGAGACAGUUCGGUCCCUAUCUGCCGUGGGCGCUGGAGAACUGAGGGGGGCUGCUCCUAGUACGAGAGGACCGGAGUGGACGCAUCACUGGUGUUCGGGUUGUCAUGCCAAUGGCACUGCCCGGUAGCUAAAUGCGGAAGAGAUAAGUGCUGAAAGCAUCUAAGCACGAAACUUGCC
rnacentral:rRNA from 1 species